rnacentral:rRNA from 1 species
AACGAACGCUGGCGGCAUGCCUAACACAUGCAAGUCGAGCGAGGACUUCGGGUCUAUCGGCGGACGGGGUAGUAACGCGUGGGAAUGUUCCCUUCUCUACGGAAUAGCUCUGGGAAACUGGUAAUAAUACCGUAUACGCCCUAUUGGGGAAUGAUUUAUUGGAGAAGAAUGAGCCCGCGUUGAAUUAGGUAGUUGUUGCGGUAAUGGCAUACUAAGCCGACGAUUCAUAGCUGGUUAGUGAGGAUGAUCAGCGACACUGGGACUGAGAAGCGGCCCAGACUCCUACGGGAGGCAGCAGUGGGGAAUCUUAGACAACGGGGGCAAUCAUGAUGGAGCCAUGACGCGUGAGCGAUGAAGGCAUUAGGGUUGUAAAGCGCAAUCAGCUGGGCAGAUCAUGACGGUACCAGCAGAAGAAGCCCCGGCUAACUACGUG